rnacentral:rRNA from 1 species
AACGCGAAGAACCUUACCAGCCCUUGACAUCCCUGUCGCGGGAACGAGAGAUCGAUCCCUUCAGUUCGGCUGGACAGGAGACAGGUGCUGCAUGGCUGUCGUCAGCUCGUGUCGUGAGAUGUUGGGUUAAGUCCCGCAACGAGCGCAACCCUCGCCCUUAGUUGCCAUCAUUCAGUUGGGCUCUCUAAGGGGACUGCCGGUGAUAAGCCGCGAGGAAGGUGGGGAUGACGUCAAGUCCUCAUGGCCCUUACGGGCUGGGCUACACACGUGCUACAAUGGCGGUGACAAUGGGACGCAAUGGGGCAACCCUGCGCAAAUCUCAAAAAGCCGUCUCAGUUCGGAUUGCACUCUGCAACUCGAGUGCAUGAAGUUGGAAUCGCUAGUAAUCGUGGAUCAGCACGCCACGGUGAAUACGUUCCCGGGCCUUGUACACACCGGCUAC